rnacentral:siRNA from 1 species
UCGAGUGAUGGAGGUGAUAUCGAG